rnacentral:rRNA from 1 species
GUGUCAGCAGCCGCGGUAAUACGGAGGGUGCAAGCGUUGUUCGGAUUUAUUGGGCGUAAAGCGCGUGUAGGCGGUUUCUUAAGUCUGAUGUGAAAGCCCUGGGCUCAACCCAGGAAGUGCAUUGGAUACUGGGAGACUUGAAUACGGGAGAGGGUAGUGGAAUUCCUAGUGUAGGAGUGAAAUCCGUAGAUAUUAGGAGGAACACCGGUGGCGAAGGCGGCUACCUGGACCGAUAUUGACGCUGAGACGCGAAAGCGUGGGGAGCAAACAGGAUUAGAAACCCCCGUAGUCC